rnacentral:rRNA from 1 species
GACGAACGCUGGCGGCGUGCCUAAUACAUGCAAGUCGAGCGCAGGAAAUCGACGGAACCCUUCGGGGGGAAGUCGACGGAAUGAGCGGCGGACGGGUGAGUAACACGUAAAGAACCUGCCCUCAGGUCUGGGAUAACCACGAGAAAUCGGGGCUAAUACCGGAUGGCUCAUCGAACCGCAUGGUCCGAGGAUGAAAGGCGCUUCGGCGUCGCCUGGGGAUGGCUUUGCGGUGCAUUAGCUAGUUGGUGGGGUAAUGGCCCACCAAGGCGACGAUGCAUAGCCGCCCUGGGAGGGUGAUCGGCCACACUGGGAAUGAGACACGGCCCAGACUCCUACGGGAGGCAGCAGUAGGGAAUCUUCCACAAUGGACGAACGUCUGAUGGAGCAACGCCGCGUGAACGAAGAAGGCCUUCGGGUCGUAAAGUUCUGUUGUAAGGGAAGAACAAGUGCCGCAGGCAAUGGCGGCACCUUGACGGUACCUUGCGAGAAAGCCACGGCUAACUACGUGCCAGCCGCCGCGGUAAUAC